UGUGCGCUCCCGCAGUCUUGGGC
rnacentral:miRNA from 1 species